UGCGCAGGCGGUUAUAUAAGACAGAUGUGAAAUCCCCGGGCUUAACCUGGGACCUGCAUUUGUGACUGUAUAGCUAGAGUACGGCAGAGGGGGAUGGAAUUCCGCGUGUAGCAGUGAAAUGCGUAGAUAUGCGGAGGAACACCGAUGGCGAAGGCAAUCCCCUGGGCCUGUACUGACGCUCAUGCACGAAAGCGUGGGGAGCAAACAGGAUUAGAUACCCUGGUAGUCCACGCCCUAAACGAUGUCAACUGGUUGUUGGGUCUUCACUGACUCAGUAACGAAGCUAACGCGUGAAGUUGACCGCCUGGGGAGUACGGCCGCAAGGUUGAA
rnacentral:rRNA from 1 species